GUCAUCUAUUUGUGAUGUGGGAAACAAAAGCAGAAGAAAAAUUAUUAAAUUUCCUUACUAUCUACAGCCCACUGACAAGCCCUUGAAACAGGCAGAGUGACUUUCCUCUUGGUACUCAGCUGCCUUGAUGCUGAUCCUUUGUCAAGGGCAAAAGGCAACCUUAGCUGGACCCCCAGGACCCUAUUUGCAGACUGUCUUCUCUGGUGGAGAGUUAAAUGAAUUCUCCCUGCCCGUGGAAGAAGCCUUUUGGGUACCCACCUGCAAUUUUGACUGGAUGGAUCUUGUUGGCUUGCACAAAGAUCAUGAACCCUCACCAACUGCUCAGUUCUUCCAGAUUCCUUUACUAUCUGGCUACGACUCUCUAAACGAAGCUUCCAAAAUUUUCUGCCUCCUGCCUGACUCAGUGUACUCAAGAACUAAAACCUGA
rnacentral:lncRNA from 1 species